CAUAUUAGAGUUUAAUUUUUGAAUUUUUCUUUUACAUUGAAAAGGUCUCUUUGCUGAGUGGUAUGAAAU
rnacentral:tRNA from 1 species